UCGAUGAAGAACGCAGCGAAAUGCGAUAAGUAAUGUGAAUUGCAGAAUUCAGUGAAUCAUCGAAUCUUUGAACGCACAUUGCGCCCUUUGGUAUUCCUUAGGGCAUGCCUGUUCGAGCGUC
rnacentral:rRNA from 1 species